rnacentral:rRNA from 1 species
AUUGAACGCUGGCGGCGUGCCUAAUACAUGCAAGUCGAACGCAGUGGGGACGGGUGAGUAACACGUGGGUAACCUCCCAUCAGAGGGGAUAACACUUGGAAACAGGUGCUAAACCGAUACUGAUGGAUGAACCCGCGGUGCAUUAGCUAGUUGGUGAGGUAACGGCUCACCAAGGCCACGAUGCAUAGCGGACCUGAGAGGGUGAUCCGCCACACUGGGACUGAGAAAAGGCCCAGACUCCUACGGGAGGAAGCAGUAGGGAAUCUUCGGCGAUGGUCGAAAGGCUGACCGAGGAACGCCGCGUGAGUGAAGAAGGUUUUCGGAUCGUAAAACUCUGUUGUUGGAGAAGCGGUAUCUAACCAGAAAGCCACGGCUAACUACGUGCAAGCAGCCGCGGUAAUUC